AAGAACGACACCCACACAGUAGAAAGUGACUUGUUUUCUAAGUGUAUAAAGCAGUAUUACAGAAACAGAAUUUUAAAAACAAAAAGGAAAAACCCCCUAGCAGAUAAAAUUUUUACCACUAUUAAGUUGGCCAAAAAAAGAACAUUUUAAAGAGGCAAAGAAAUUACAUUUUAAACACUUACGAACUAUAUUUUAAA